CUUAUCAAUUCAUACCUGACUAGGAUCACCUGUAGGUAACUUAAAGUACUUUUUCUGGAGGUUCCAGUCCUUCUACUUCAUAUGUUUUAUUCCAUCAUUCGUGGAAUUGCCAGUUGUUCAAAAUAAACCUCUAAAUGAUCAUCGUAAGACAUUUCAUCAUCAAUAUCAUCCUUUAAUAAAAUUAAGAAAAAAUAAAACAGGCUCUAAGGUAGUGACUGAACAAUAAAUAAUUUGUAAUAAAAAAGACUAAGACAUAAAUGAGUCAAUAAAAUUAAGAAAAAAAUAAAGCAG
rnacentral:lncRNA from 1 species